UUUCUCUCGGCCUCUUGAUCACAAUAGAUCAGAACAGAUUAGUAAAGACGUUAAAAAGGCGCCUUGUUGUAGUUAGCAACUGUAGAUAGAAUAAUGUUUAUGGGUGCUACACGAUUAACUUGUAGUAGUGAAAUCAUUGCUGCAGUCAGUCCGUAAAAACCAACAGUUAAUCCAGUGUACAUAGUGUAUACUACACUACUUGUAACAAAUCAUUGCUGCAGUCUGGAAAAUUGUAGCAAAUCAUAGAUUCUAACCUUACUUGUGCCACAGGUAGCCCAGGCAAUGGUUGCUUGUUCUUAGCUCGGAAUUCGGCUGUUCUGAGAGGGGACGAGUAAAGCGUUUUUUGUGUUAAAUGUUGUCAAUAAAAUCCUUGUGCCACAGGUUGGUUCGUUGUAUGGAAAAUGUUUUUGGUUCGCUUCUCAUUCAUCCGGGAACUUGUAUAUGGCAGUGAUGGAAGUGGCAAGAAGACCAAGCGACGAAGUGCAGCUCCUGAAACUCCCCUCCGGAGAUCAUCAAGAAUUCGUGAGAAGAGGCAGCAUGAUCAGCAUGAUGAGUAGAUGGCAAAA